rnacentral:lncRNA from 1 species
GUGGAGGCAGAGUUUUGGGAAUUGGGUUUGGAUAACAGUCUGGCUGUAAGUAAUAGAUAUUCAAAAUAUUAUGUUAACAUUAGAAUGUUGGGAGUGUUCAUUUAUUGUUUUUUUUAAAAAAAAAAAUCCUCUCUCAGAAUAAGCCACAGUGCCAUGACCCUCCUUUGUCCUUUUUCAAUGUUCUUUUAUUAGUCUUAGUAGACUGAAGUUUGUGUGGCGUUGAGGGGUGGUGUCCCCGUAAAUGGGGAUUGAACUCAAGUCCUUUACCACUGAGCUACAUCCUCAGCCCUUUUUAAUUUUUAUUUUAUUUUAAGAUAGUUUGAGAUAGAAUCAUGCUCCUUCCUCAGCCUCCAAAAUUGCUAGGCUUACAGGCUCGUGCCACUACACCAGGCUGAAGCAUAUUCUACAACUAAAAAAAAUUUUAAAAAAAUAAUAUAUGUAUAUAUUUUUUUAAAAUAUUUUUUUUAGUUGUAGAUGGACACAAUAUCUUUUUUUUAUUUGGUGUUGAAGAUCGAACACAGGGCCUCACGUGUGCAAGGCAAGCGCUCUACCAUUGAGCUACAACCCCAGCCCUGAAGUACAUUGUUAUAGCAUACUUUUACCAUUCAAAGUUGUAAUAUAUUUGCUUAUUCUGAAGAGCCACUAAAAUUCUGUUGAUUCUUUUGGUUAUUAUUCAAGUCACAAAUUCCGUGGUUAACAUUAAGCCAGGUGAAAGAAACUAGACAAAACACCACAUAUCCAAUGAAAUAUCCAGAAUAGGUCAACCCAAAGAGAUAGAAGGUAGACUAAUUGGUUGCCAAGGGAAGGGAAAAGGGGGGAAAGAGAUUUCUUUUGGGGGUGAUAAAAAUGUUCUAAAAUUAGAUGGUGGUGAUGGUUGCACAAUUUUGUGAAUAAAUAGUAAGCCUCAGAGUUGUCACUUGAAAAGAAUGAUAUAAGCCAGUGCAGCG